rnacentral:lncRNA from 1 species
UAUGAUUAGUCUUGGGGAUGAUCGUUUGGUCAUGCUGGAAAAGACAGAAACUUGCUUCUCAUGAAAAGAAUUUAUUUUUUCUAUAAGAGAUUUUGAGUUGGUUCUUUUUGCUGCCGAUUGCUACGCAAAUUCUUCAGACUGUCGUAAUUUUUCAGAAUUUUUGGAGUAUAAGAAGUAUAAAAAAUGUACAGAUUGCUACAGACUGGUCUCCUGUUGACAUAUUCUGUUUUUGUUGUGUUGGUUGCUUGUUUUGAUGAAACUAUGGAUAGUAUCGGG